AUAAGUCUGCUAAACUGUGAAAACAGGUGUGGAUCCAGCCAGUCUCAAAGUGACUACUGUGUGGCCAUGGCCAGCUCCUGUAGCGCAGCAACAAAAAAUGAUAGUGUGGGCAGAACUGCCAGCACGGGGAACCUCUUCAGCUCCUUUAUGGAGGAGAUCCAGGGAUAUGAUGUAGAGUUUGGCCCACCCCUGGAAAGCAAGUAUGAAUGCCCCAUCUGCUUGAUGGCAUUACGAGAAGCAGUGCAAACGCCAUGCAGCCAUAGGUUCUGCAAAGCCUGCAUCAUAAAAUCAAUAAGGGAUGCAGGUCACAAAUAUCCAGUUGACAAUGAAAUACUGCUGGAAAAUUAACUAUUUCCAGACAAUUUUGCAAAACGUGAGAUUAUUUCUCUGAUAGUGAAGUGUCCAAAUGAAGGUUGUUUGCACAAGAUGGAACUGAGACAUCUUGAGGAUCAUCAAACACAUUGUGAGUUUGCUCUUAUGGAUUGUCCCCAAUGCCAGCCUCCCUUCCAAAAAUUCCAUAUUAAUAUUUACAUUAUGAAGGGUUGUCCAAGGAGGCAGGUAUCUUGUGACAACUGUGCUGCAUCAAUGGCAUUUGAAGAUAAAAAGAUCCAUGACCAGAACUGCCCUUUGGCAAAUGUCAUCUGUGAGUACUGCAAUACUAUACUCAUCAGAGAACAGAUGCCUAACUUUAUGACCUAGACCGCCCUACAGCCCCAAUUCCAUGCACAUUCCGUACUUUUCGUAGCCAUGAAAAGAUGCGGAGGAAUCACUUGGCACGCCACCUACAAGAGAACACCCAAUCAAACAUGAGAAUGUUGGCCCAGGCUGUUCAUAGUUUGAGCCUUAUACCCGACUCUGGGUAUAUCUCAGAGGUCCGGAAUUUCCAGGAAAGUAUUCACCAGUUAGAGGGUCGCCUUGUAAGACAAUGUCAUCAAAUCCGGGAGCUGACUGAUAAAAUGGAAACUCAGAGUAUGUAUGUAAGUGAGCUCAAACGAACCAUUCGAACCCUUGAGGACAAAGUUGCUGAAAUUGAAGCACAGCAGUGCAAUGGAAUUUACAUUUGGAAGAUUGGGAAUGAAUUUGAAAUGUUAAGAAGAGCAGAAACCUGUUGUGAUUCAUAGCCCUGGAUUCUACACGGGUAAACACAGGUACAAACUGUGCAUGCGCUUGCACCUUCCGUUACCGACUGCUCAGCGCUGUGCAAACUAUAUAUCCCUUUUUGUCCACACAAUGCAAGGAGAGUAUGACAGCCACCUCCCUUGGCCCUUCCAGGAUACAAUAUGCCUUACAAUUCUUGAUCAGUCUCAAGCACCUGUAAGGCAAAAACCACGAAGAGAUAAUGGAUGCCAAACCAGAGCUGCUUGCUUUCCAGCGACCCACAAUCCCACGGAACCCAAAAGGUUUUGGCUAUGUAACUUUUAUGCAUCUGGAAGCCCUAAGACAAAGAACUUUCAUUAAGGAUGACACAUUAUUAGUGCACUGUGAGGUCUCCACCCGCUUUGACAUGGAUAGCCUUCAGAGGGAGGGUUUUCAGCCACAAAGUACUGAUGCAGGGGUA
rnacentral:lncRNA from 1 species